rnacentral:rRNA from 1 species
GACGUAGGGCGCGAGCGUUGUCCGGAUUUAUUGGGCGUAAAGAGCUCGUAGGCGGCUUGUCGCGUCGACUGUGAAAUCCCGAGGCUCAACUUCGGGCUUGCAGUCGAUACGGGCAGGCUAGAGUUCGGUAGGGGAGACUGGAAUUCCUGGUGUAGCGGUGAAAUGCGCAGAUAUCAGGAGGAACGCCGGUGGCGAAGGCGGGUCUCUGGGCCGUAACUGACGCUGAGGAGCGAAAGCGUGGGGAGCGAACAGG